GGAUGUCAGGGCAAUCUAGCUGCAACAUCUGUCACACCAUUGAUUACCAGGGCUGAUUUGGCAGAUCUGGCUGGUGAGGCUGGUGUCCCUUUCCUCCCUCAUAGCUCACAUGCAUUCCUCCUGAAGCUGUGCAGAGGACCACCACCCCUGAUAGAGGAGGACAUUUCCUCCAUCAAGGGUAUGCAAGUAGCUGCACUUCUCUCCUAGAAGCUCCAAACAAGCUCUCAAAUUAAUGAAGGUAGUCAGAUCUUAGGAUGAGGUAAAGGCCUACAGUUAGCCAAAUCUAGAGUGCACCACU
rnacentral:snRNA from 1 species